rnacentral:rRNA from 1 species
AUGGAUCCACGGUCGAUGGGAGAGUACGCCAUCGUUGAUCCAUCACUUAGGUUAGUGGCGCAUGGGUCGGGUCUGGGCAGAAGGCCGGCGCCUGCGGGGGAAACGGCGGGGGUUGGUGCACCGGAAAAUAAGGAUGGGGUUGGCCGUAGAGGGAGGCUUGCCGGCCAAAACAGCCGGAGCAAGGAGGCAGUGUCGCCAUGGAGGGAGGCCCACUGGCCGGAGCAGCAGGAGCAACUGCAGCCGCUAGUCGGCCCGACGCACCGCCUCCUCUGCUGCGGCCUGCACGGUCAAGAGGGGCAGCUGUGCCAUAGCUGGCGGCGAGUUCAGCGGCCGCCGCCUCCUCUCCUCUACAAAUCCACAGGUGCAUAUGCGUUGUUCCCCUCGGUUGGAUUGUUCAUCCUUCUUCUCCGGUAG